rnacentral:rRNA from 1 species
UACGUAGGUGGCGAGCGUUGUCCGGAAUUACUGGGUGUAAAGCGCGUGUAGGCGGGAGGCCAAGUCUGUGGUGAAAUCGCCCGGCUUAACUGGGCGGGGGCCUUCCAGACGGCGUGGCUUGAGCAGCGGAGGGGGACGUGGAAUUCCGGGUGGAGCGGUGAAAUGCGUAGAGAUCCGGAGGAACACCGACGGCGCAGGCAGCGUCCUGGCCGCUUGCUGACACUGAGGCACGAAAGCUGGGGGAGCAAACAGG